rnacentral:rRNA from 1 species
UACGUAGGGUGCAAGCGUUAAUCGGAAUUACUGGGCGUAAAGCGUGCGCAGGCGGUUUUGUAAGACCGAUGUGAAAUCCCCGGGCUUAACCUGGGAACUGCAUUGGUGACUGCAAGGCUUGAGUGUGUCAGAGGGAGGUGGAAUUCCCGGUGUAGCGGUGAAAUGCGCAGAUAUCGGGAAGAACACCCGUGGCGAAGGCGGCUCUCUGGGACGGUACUGACGCUGAGACGCGAAAGCGUGGGGAGCGAACAGG